rnacentral:rRNA from 1 species
UGGGGAAUUUUGGACAAUGGGCGCAAGCCUGAUCCAGCAAUGCCGCGUGCAGGAAGAAGGCCUUCGGGUUGUAAACUGCUUUUGCCAGGGAAGAAAUCCUCUGGGUUAAUACCUCGGGGGGAUGACGGUACCUGAAGAGUAAGCACCGGCUAACUACGUGCCAGCAGCCGCGGUAAUACGUAGGGUGCGAGCGUUAAUCGGAAUUACUGGGCGUAAAGCGUGCGCAGGCGGUUGUGCAAGACAGGUGUGAAAUCCCCGGGCUUAACCUGGGAACUGCACUUGUGACUGCACGGCUAGAGUACGGUAGAGGGGGAUGGAAUUCCGCGUGUAGCAGUGAAAUGCGUAGAUAUGCGGAGGAACACCGAUGGCGAAGGCAAUCCCCUGGACCUGUACUGACGCUCAUGCACGAAAGCGUGGGGAGCAAACAGGAUUAGAUACCCUGGUAGUCCACGCCCUAAACGAUGUCAACUGGUUGUUGGACGGCUUGCUGUUCAGUAACGAAGCUAACGCGUGAAGUUGACCGCCUGGGGAGUACGGCCGCAAGGUUG